AUUUAAAGAAAGCGUAAUAGCUCACUGGUCGAGUCGGCCUGCGCGGAAGAUGUAACGGGGCUAAACCAUGCACCGAAGCUGCGGCAGCGACGCUUAUGCGUUGUUGGGUAGGGGAGCGUUCUGUAAGCCGUCGAAGGUGUGCUGUGAGGCAUGCUGGAGGUAUCAGAAGUGCGAAUGCUGACAUAAGUAACGAUAAAGCGGGUGAAAAGCCCGCUCGCCGGAA
rnacentral:rRNA from 1 species